rnacentral:rRNA from 1 species
UACGUAGGGUGCGAGCGUUAAUCGGAAUUACUGGGCGUAAAGCGUGCGCAGGCGGUUUUGUAAGCCAGAUGUGAAAUCCCCGGGCUUAACCUGGGAAUGGCAUUUGGGACUGCAAGGCUUGAGUGCGGCAGAGGAGACUGGAAUUCCUGGUGUAGCAGUGAAAUGCGUAGAUAUCAGGAGGAACACCGAUGGCGAAGGCAGGUCUCUGGGCUGACACUGACGCUCAUGCACGAAAGGCGU